GUACUACUUCUUCCGUCUCAAAAUUUUUGUCUUAAAUUUGUCUAGAUACGGAUGUAUCUAAUACUAAAGCGUGACUUGAUACAUCUGAAUUUAGACAAAUUUAAGAUAAAAAUUUUAAGACAAAGGGAGUACUUA
rfam:Triticum urartu cultivar G1812 contig1224196, whole genome shotgun sequence.